rnacentral:rRNA from 1 species
AACGAACGCUGGCGGCAGGCUUAACACAUGCAAGUCGAACGAACAUAGCAAUAUGUUAGUGGCAGACGGGUGAGUAACGCGUGGGAAUGUGCCCUUUAGUUCGGAAUAACUCAGGGAAACUUGAGCUAAUACCGGAUAAGCCCGAGAGGGGAAAGAUUUAUCGCUAAAGGAGCAGCCCGCGUCUGAUUAGCUAGUUGGUGAGGUAAUGGCUCACCAAGGCGACGAUCAGUAGUUGGUCUGAGAGGAUGAUCAGCCACACUGGGACUGAGACACGGCCCAGACUCCUACGGGAGGCAGCAGUGGGGAAUAUUGGACAAUGGGGGCAACCCUGAUCCAGCCAUGCCGCGUGAGUGAUGAAGGCCUUAGGGUUGUAAAACUCUUUUAUCCGGGAAGAUAAUGACUGUACCGGAAGAAUAAGCCCCGGCUAACUUCGUGCCAGCCGCCGCCGUAA